rnacentral:rRNA from 1 species
UACCCGCAGCACAAGUGGUGGUCAUUAUUAUUGGGCCUAAAGCGUCCGUAGCUGGCGUGUUAGAUGCCUGGGUAAAUCGAUGCGCUCAACGUAUCGAAUUCCGGGUAGACCAGCACGCUCGAGACCGGGAGAGGUGUAGGGUACUCGGGGGGUAGGGGUAAAAUCCUGUAAUCCUCCGGGGACGACCAGUGGCGAAGGCGCUACACUAGAACGGCUCUGACAGUGAGGGACGAAGCCCUGGGGCGCAAACCGG